rnacentral:rRNA from 1 species
UACGUAGGGUGCAAGCGUUAAUCGGAAUUACUGGGCGUAAAGCGUGCGCAGGCGGUUAUGUAAGACAGGUGUGAAAUCCCCGGGCUUAACCUGGGAACUGCAUUUGUGACUGCAUAGCUAGAGUACGGUAGAGGGGGAUGGAAUUCCGCGUGUAGCAGUGAAAUGCGUAGAUAUGCGGAGGAACACCGAUGGCGGAAGGCAAUCCCCUGGACCUGUACUGACGCUCAUGCACGAAAGCGUGGGGAGCAAACGAGG